GACUGCUCCGGUGACCUAGUGGUUAGAGCUUCCGUCUCAUAUAUGUGAGUUUGUGGGUUCGAUCCCCGAUUGAGUCA